AUUGAACGCUGGCGGCAGGCCUAACACAUGCAAGUCGAACGAGUGGCGGACGGGUGAGUAAUGUCUGGGAAACUGCCCGGUGGAGGGGGAUAACUACUGGAAACGGUAGCUAAUACCCCAUACCAUCAGAUGUGCCCAGAGGGGAUUAGCUUGUUGGGGGGGUAACGGCUCACCAAGGCGACGAUCCCUAGCUGGUCUGAGAGGAUGACCAGCCACACUGGAACUAGGACACGGGCCAGACUCCUACGGGAGGCAGAAGUGGGGAAUAUUGCACAAGGGGGGAAAGCCUGAUGCAGCAAUGCCGCGUGUAUGAAGAGGGCCUUCGGGUGGUAAAGUACUUUCAGCGGGGAGGCGUUACCCGCAGAAGAAGCACCGGCUAACUCCGUGCCAGCAGCCGCGGUAAUAC
rnacentral:rRNA from 1 species